UUCAGCUGCCAAGUGCACAUGUAACAGGUCAGCCAGUGUCAUAGGUGCAAAACUGCUGACAGAUGCCCUUUAACUGCAGUCACACCUGAGUGGAGCGGACCUCAGAACUAACAUAAGGCAAAAAUCACCUCAGUCAAUGUAACCAGCAGCAGGAAUAGAUCGGGUCUGUAUGUGUCCAUCAGGUUAUAGCUCAUCUGUUGUCAGUCUGCAGGUCCAGUGUUGCCAGAGGGGCAUCUUGUAAGAGAUCUCGUUCCUUCCUUGUGGGUGCCGCUCACCGUGAAGCUGAGCCUCUCUCAUCCUCAAGGCUAUGACUGGAAAUGGUUAGCGGAACAGCUGUCCAUCCCUCGUGACUUUAUUGACCUGUGGCAACAACAAGGUGGCGUCCCAGCCGACAAAGUACUGAAGGCCUGGCAGGUGAAGGUGAGUGAAGCCACCGUGGGCCGACUCUUUGAUCUCCUGAUUGAGCACCGGGAAGAUCUGGCUGCCAUGCUAUGACGUGCAGGGCACUGAAUGUCUUUUAUAUAUUGAAAUAAAGAUAUC